AAUUGCGCCAUACCUCAAGUUUCAGCCAGUAGUCUUUAGCUCCUUCAAUCAGCUUCAUUUUCUUACGCAAUUACCCCACUUGUUUUCCAAUUCAAUUCCAAAUUCCAACUUAUUUCCCAGUUUUAUUCUCUACUUCCAAAUAAAAUUCAGUUGUAAUCGUUUAGCGCAAAUCUACAAAGUAGUUGAAGAUGAUUUUCAACCUUAGGAACGACCUUCUCAGACAUUCAAUAAUUAUCAGUGGGUUUACCUUAAAUACUACUCCUUCCAUUUCUCUUCACUUCUCAAAUACUCAUCGAUUUUCCCUCUUUCUUUUGUUAAUUAUUUUUCACCCUUUACAUUGGUAUUGUGGUUCGAGAAUUGUGUUCUCACUGGCUUGAUACUUCAAGAAUUCAUCUGUUCAAAGAGAUUAUGAAAUUAGCAUCCAAUCACACAAAAUUAUUUGGAUUUCUAGGUACUGUGGUUGUUGGGUUGCCUCUUGUUGGAUUUGGUGGAGAUAGGCAAGCAAGCCCAAGCGAGGAAGGAAGCCCAACCCCCAGCAUCCCGUGCAGGCUAUUGCUGUGUGGGUGGUUCUGCCUUGAAGGCAGAUCGUAGAACUUGCGCCUGCAUCGGGCUGGCGGCUCUUCGGGACCGCCGUCCGAAAAAUCCAGUUUGCACGUGUUUUUUUUACGAUUUAAGUUUCAAUCGUGGUUAUUGGAUUGCUUUUAUUCCUUGUUGUAUAAAUAUCCUAUUUUUCUGGUUUUAGAAGAUAUAACACACAUAUCUCAAAGUUCAAACUUGGAGCCUAAUCUUUUCUAGGAUUUUAGGGAAAAGAGUGAGUUUGUGAGAGAUUGUAUGUUCAUCAUUAAUUCUCCAUUGAUUCUAUAGUGCAAGUUUGUGGGUUUUUCUC